rnacentral:rRNA from 1 species
UACGUAGGGUGCAAGCGUUGUCCGGAAUUAUUGGGCGUAAAAGAGCUCGUAGGCGGUUUGUUGCGUCGGCUGUGAAAUCCCGAGGCUCAACCUCGGGUCUGCAGUCGAUACGAGCAAACUAGAGUGUUGCAGGGGGAGACUGGAAUUCCUGGUGUAGCGGUGAAAUGCGCAGAUAUCAGGAGGAACACCGGCGGCGAAGGCGGGUCUCUGGGCAACAACUGACGCUGAGGAGCGAAAGCGUGGGGAGCGAACAGG